rnacentral:lncRNA from 1 species
GCUGGAAUUUAACUUACAGAAAUUAAAAAUUACAUAAUUAAAAGAUGCAGAAAUUUAAACUACUCUAUUACAGAAAUUAAAAUUGCAGAAAAAAAAACUAAAUUAUUGCUGAAUAAAAAUUCUGAUACAAAAUUUUUAACUCCUAAACUAUUAAUGAGACUUAGAGUUGGAAUAAAAAAUAAAAUAAAAUAAACUCUCUUACAGAAUUUGAGUU